AGAGUUUGAUCAUGGCUCAGGACGAACGCUGGCGGCGUGCCUAAUACAUGCAGGUCGAGCGCGUGUAGCAAUACACGAGCGGCGGACGGGUGAGUAACGCGUGGGCAACCUGCCCUCUAGCCUGGGAUAACAGCGCGAAAGUGCUGCUAAAACCGGAUAUGCUCACAAGGAGGCAUCUCCUGGUGAGGAAAGUUUACACUAGAGGAUGGGCCCGCGUCCCAUUAGCUAGUUGGUGAGGUAACGGCCCACCAAGGCGACGAUGGGUAGCCGACCUGAGAGGGUGAUCGGCCACACUGGGACUGAGACACGGCCCAGACUCCUACGGGAGGCAGCAGUAGGGAAUUUUCCGCAAUGGGCGAAAGCCUGACGGAGCAACGCCGCGUGAGGGAUGAAGGUCUUCGGAUCGUAAACCUCUGUCUUCAGGGACGAUAAUGACGGUACCUGAGGAGGAAGCCACGGCUAACUACGUGCCAGCAGCCGCGGUAAUACGUAGGUGGCGAGCGUUGUCCGGAAUUACUGGGCGUAAAGGGCGUGUAGGCGGCCUUUUAAGUCAGAUGUGAAAUCUCAGGGCUUAACCCUGAAACUGCAUUUGAAACUGGAGGGCUUGAGGAUCGGAGAGGGCAGUGGAAUUCCCAGUGUAGCGGUGAAAUGCGUAGAUAUUGGGAGGAACACCAGUGGCGAAGGCGACUGCCUGGACGACACCUGACGCUGAGGCGCGAAAGCUAGGGGAGCAAACGGGAUUAGAUACCCCGGUAGUCCUAGCCGUAAACGAUGGGUACUAGGUGUGGGAGGUAUCGACCCCUUCCGUGCCGCAGCUAACACAAUAAGUACCCCGCCUGGGGAGUACGGCCGCAAGGUUGAAACUCAAAUGAAUUGACGG
rnacentral:rRNA from 1 species